rnacentral:rRNA from 1 species
UACGAAGGGGGCUAGCGUUGCUCGGAAUCACUGGGCGUAAAGCGCACGUAGGCGGACUCUUAAGUCGGUGGUGAAAUCCUGGAGCUCAACUCCAGAACUGCCUUCGAUACUGAGAGUCUCGAGUCCGGGAGAGGUGAGUGGAACUGCGAGUGUAGAGGUGAAAUUCGUAGAUAUUCGCAAGAACACCAGUGGCGAAGGCGGCUCACUGGCCCGGUACUGACGCUGAGGUGCGAAAGCGUGGGAG